CUCCCCGGUGCCCUGUCCUUUGGGCAGUAUCCGCAACACGACGGGAGGCGUGUCGAUGGAGGGCUGCAGUGCAUGUCCAUCAGGCUCCUACUGCUCCGCCGAGGGCCUCUCGGGCCCCACGGGACCCUGCUCGGCUGGCUUCUACUGCCCCUUUGACUUCUCCUCCACAACGCCAUACGCCUUCCUCUGUCCUAAGGGUCACUACUGUCCAGUGGGCUCGCCCCUAGCCCUGCCCUGUCCAACAGGAGGCUACCAGCCCAACGCAGGCUCAGAGAGCUGCAUCCCCUGCCGGCCGGGCUACUACUGCGAGGAGGCUAUAGUGGGGGACCCUUUGCCCUGCCCACCACACUCUUUCUGCCCUGCUGGGACCAUGGUGCCCCACCACUGCCCUGCUGGCACACACACACUGCUGGAGCAGGGGGGGCUGCAGAGCGAGAGGGAGUGCUUACCCUGCCCCCCCGGGAGCUUCUGCAGGGCUGGAAGGAUCCAGGGAGAGUGCGCCGCAGGCUAUGUCUGUGCGUCUGGGGGCGCAGAUUUCACUCCACAGGGCUCUGAGUGGAGCUGGAACCACUGUGAGUGGGGAGUGCAGUGUGCUGGUCUGUGUCCACCAGGCUUCUACUGCCCUGAGGGCACGGAGAGACCCCAGGUCUGUCCUCCUAACACCAUGAGACAGGCCCCGGGUGGCGCCAGCCUGCAGGACUGUGUAGCGUGUCCGCCCCAUCACUGGUGCAUACCUGGAGACCCAGAGCUCCACCUCUGUCCUGCCGGUCACUACUGCAAUGGUCUGCAGGGGGGCCCCGGCAGAGGGGGGCCCCAGGAGUGUCCGGCCUUCACGUACAGGGCCACUCCAGGGGCCGGGGCCAGGAGCCACUGCCACCCCUGUCCUCCUGGGUCUUACUGUAACACAACAGGCCUGACAGACUACACCAGCCACCCCUGCCCCCCUGGGUACUGGUGCAGUGGGGGAGGGUCCGCCCAUCGUCUGCCCUGCAGGAACCAAGAGGAGCCACCCUGGGGCAGCGGCACCCAGCCAGUGUGAACCCUGUGACGGGGGAACCUUCUGUCCUGAUCCCCAGACCACUGGCAGGCCCAAUGUGUGGGGGAUCCCCUGCAGACCCGCCUAUCACUGUCCUCCAGG
ensembl:lncRNA